GCCUGGGUGGCUCAGUCGGUUGGGCGUCUGGCUUCGGCUCAGGUCUUGAUCUCACGGUCCGUGAGUUCGAGCCCCACGUCGGGCU
rfam:Felis catus isolate Cinnamon breed Abyssinian chromosome A1, whole genome shotgun sequence.